GUUUACCUUGAACCGCCUCUUUCAAGCUUAUAUAUAGGCUUGUACCAACUUAUUUUGAAUCAAUGAAAAAGAGCAAUAAUUACAUGCAUUCCUUCUUUAUUUUUUUAGCUCUUCUCUUCCUUCAAAUUAGAAUUAGCCUCGGCCACUCUCCUUUCUUUUACCUCUUCUAUUUUAUCCAAGUCUCCCAUUUUUUUACAUAUUAUCCAACAGAUCGCGAGGGCUUUGUAGAAAUGUACUAAGUGUAUACAGAUUUUUCAGUAUUAUUUAAGGUGGACAUGGUCACUCCUAUGUGUUCUCAACUACAUAUGAGGGGCUUCUCGAUGAGUUUCUAGGCAUUAAUAAUGGGUCUGGGGAGCUUGAUGCGUCUAUCAUGGGUUUUCAACAAGAGGAAAAGAAAGUUAAAGUUCCACUUAAUUCAAGGUAAAAUGCCGUCUGUGUUUGAUGUACUUUUUUAUGUAACGCAAGUAUAUCAUCCUCCUACUACAGGUCUGAUAGUUGAAGCCUUUUUAUUAUUAUUAUUAUUUUUUUUCAAUCCUUUUUGUCUUAUUAGCAAUGACUACUUGGCCCAUAUGUUCUGAAAAGCUCUUACUCAGAUUUUGUUAUUUUAUCUUAGUCAAAAGGGAGUCAGUAGUCAGUAUAUCUUGGUUGAAUGGCCUUCCCACUACUAAUUUAGUAUCUAUUAAUUGGACUGAUUAGAUUGGAUAGGAAGAUGAGGAAUCUAAUUAAAGAUUUGAUUUACUUGAACUUUGGUACUAUUAUAAUCUUUGAGCAAAAUGAUGUGUGCUUGCUAGUUGCCAUUGCAGUAUCGAUUGAAGAAUGCAGGCCUUCUUGAAGAAUAUAGGAAGUAUCUAAUUCAUUUUCUGGUGCAUUUUAAGCAUUCAAUAUGUUUAAACAAUAUUUUUCAACUCUUAAGUGUCUAGAGUUUCUUAAGUUGUAUGCGUUCUCUCUCUCUCUCUCUCUCUCUCUCUCUCUCUAAAUAGAUUCAUGAUUCAUAGAAGUUCAUAAAAUAAGUCUUAUCCUUAUUAAUUGGAUUAGUAGAUUUGAAUUAUUUUGUCCACUAGGUAAAAGUUAUGCUCAUGUUGUGGUAAAUCUUGUUAUCGUAACUGUAAUACUCAAUUAACCUUCUAUCAUGUAGAAAACUAUUAGUCAAUAGACGUCACCCAAGUUUGGGAUUUUAGGCAUUAGUUGUAUAUUCCUAGUGGUUCUCCUCAACUUUAUUGUACAGUGUGUAGGCCAUUAAUUUGAAAUCUACUU